rnacentral:piRNA from 1 species
UCAAAUGGCUGCAGAUUGGUACAUGAGAC